rnacentral:rRNA from 1 species
GACGAACGCUGGCGGCGUGCCUAAUACAUGCAAGUCGAACGCACUCUCGUUUAGAUUGAAGGAGCUUGCUCCUGAUUGAUAAACAUUUGAGUGAGUGGCGGACGGGUGAGUAACACGUGGGUAACCUGCCCUAAAGUGGGGGAUAACAUUUGGAGACAGAUGCUAAUACCGCAUAAAACCUAAACACCGCAUGGUGUAGGGUUGAAAGAUGGUUUCGGCUAUCACUUUAGGAUGGACCCGCGGUGCAUUAGUUAGUUGGUGAGGUAAAGGCUCACCAAGACCGUGAUGCAUAGCCGACCUGAGAGGGUAAUCGGCCACACUGGGACUGAGACACGGCCCAGACUCCUACGGGAGGCAGCAGUAGGGAAUCUUCCACAAUGGACGAAAGUACUGAUGGAGCAACGCCGCGUGAGUGAAGAAGGUUUCGGAUCGUAAAACUCUAGUUGUUGGUAGAGAAUGUAUCUGAUAGUAACUGAUCAGGUAGUGACGGUAU